UUGCGGAGACAGGAUUUGAACCUGCGACCUCAAGGUUAUGAGCCUUGCGAGCUACCAAGC
rnacentral:tRNA from 1 species